GCCUGGGUGGCUCAGUUGGUUAAGUGUCUGACUUUAGCUCAGGUCAUGAUUUCACCCACUUGAACGUGGGUUCAAGCCCCACAUUAGGCU
rnacentral:tRNA from 1 species